rnacentral:lncRNA from 1 species
UUUUUUUUUUUUUGCAACUAUUUUUGUAGGACAAUGAGGAUGAAUAUAAGAGAUAUAUGAAAGGAUGAAGAAAAUAAAAGAUAGAGUUUGGAUCAAUACCAGAUUGCUCUGAUAACCAAAUGAUAUGGAUAGAAGUGGACGAAGGACCCGUUGGAUAUAAUGACCCAAGAACCCGACGUAUGUGAGUAGGCAGCGGACUCCCUAGAUCGUGAAUCUAGUUUGAUCAACCCCUAAGAGCGUAGAAACCUCGACCCGUUGGC